UACGUAGGGUGCAAGCGUUGCCCGGAUUUAUUGGGCGUAAAGGGUGCGUAGGUGGCUUGGUAAGUUUGAUGUGAAAUCUCCGGGCUUAACCCGGAAAUGGCAUUGAAUACUAUUGAGCUGGAGGUUUGGAGGGGGGACUGGAAUUCUCGGUGUAGCAGUGAAAUGCGUAGAUAUCGAGAGGAACACCAGUGGCGAAGGCGAGUCCCUGGACAACACCUGACACUGAGGCACGAAAGCUAGGGGAGCAAACAGG
rnacentral:rRNA from 1 species